rnacentral:rRNA from 1 species
GGAUUAGAUACCCUGGUAGUCCACGCUGUAAACGAUGGCAACUGGGUGUCUCGGGUAUUGACCCCCGAUGCGCCGAAGUCAACACGUUAAGUUGCCCGCCUGGGAAGUACGGCCGCAAGGCUAAAACUCAAAGGAAUUGACGGGGGCCCGCACAAGCGGUGGAGCAUGUGGUUUAAUUCGACGCAACGCGAAGAACCUUACCUGGACUCGAAAAUGCAGGAAGUUGGCUGAAAGGCUGAUGUGCUCGCAAGAGAGCCUGUAUCAGGUGCUGCAUGGCGGUCGUCAGCUCGUGUCG